GGGCGGGUGCUGGGAGCCUGGCGGGCCGCGAACGUACCCAUCGCGCUGGGGCCGCCGAGAUUGAGUGCCCAGGAUGAACUUCACCUGGAAAAAGGGCUUCUACAAGCAGGACGUCAACAAGACCGCCUGGGAGCUGCCCAAGACCUACGUGUCCCUGACGCACGUAGGCAGCGGGGCCUACGGCGCCGUGUGCUCAGCCAUCGAGAAGCAGUCAGGGGAGAAGGUGGCCAUCAAGAAACUGAGCCGGCCCUUCCAGUCUGAGAUCUUUGCCAAGCGGGCCUAUCGCGAGCUGCUGCUGCUGAAGCACAUGCAGCAUGAGAACGUCAUCGGACUCCUGGAUGUCUUCACCCCAGCCUCUUCCCUGCGCAACUUUCAUGAUUUCUUUACCACCAAAGAGACAUCGUUGCCAGUCCCCACAGGGUUUGCAUCAACCUACCUCACCAUUUCCUGGGGACGCAGCUACCUGGUGAUGCCCUUCAUGCAAAUGGACCUGCAGAAGAUCAUGGGAAUGGAGUUCGGUGAGGACAAGAUCCAGUACCUGGUGUAUCAGAUGCUCAAAGGUCUUAAGUACAUCCACUCAGCUGGGGUCAUCCACAGGGACCUGAAGCCAGGCAACCUUGCUGUCAAUGAGGAUUGUGAGCUGAAGAUUUUGGAUUUUGGGUUGGCACGGCAAGCAGAUGCAGAGAUGACCGGCUAUGUGGUGACCCGCUGGUACCGGGCCCCUGAGGUGAUCCUCAGCUGGAUGCACUACAACCAGACUGUGGACAUCUGGUCUGUGGGCUGUAUCAUGGCGGAGAUGCUGACGGGGAAAACUCUGUUCAAGGGGAAAGAUUACCUGGACCAGCUGACGCAGAUCCUGAAAGUGACGGGGGUGCCGGACGCUGAGUUUGUGCAGAAGUUGAAUGACAAAGCGGCCAAAUCCUACAUCCAGUCCCUGCCACAAACCCCCAAGAAGGAUUUCUCUCAGCUCUUCCAGCAUGCCAGCCCCCAGGCUGCAGACCUGCUGGAGAAGAUGCUGGAGCUGGACAUGGACAAGCGCCUGACCGCCUCUCAGGCCCUCACCCACCCCUUCUUUGAAUCCUGCCGGGACCCUGAGGAGGAAACAGAGGCCCAGCAGCCAUUUGAUGAUUUCUUAGAACAGGAGAAACUCACAGUGGAUGAAUGGAAGCACCACAUUUACAAGGAGAUUGUGAACUUCAGCCCCAUCGCCCGGAAGGACUCUCGGCGCCGGAGUGGCAUGAAGCUGCAGUGACCCGUCUAGCCCGACCCUCGGCUGAGCCCAGGAAUGGCCACAUGGUACCACCCGCCAGGCACUGCCCCUGGGACCAAUAUUUAUUUAUUGAAGCUUUAACCCGUCUUGGAUUAUAUAGCCUUCCAAGCAGAGGGCAGAGGACCCUUGUCCUUGUGUAGGAAACAGGCCUAGGAGAUGCAGAAUUCAGAGGUGUUGGUUGGGAGAAAAUAGCUAUGAUCAUAACUGGCCAUAUUAAAGCGCCCAUCUGGAGAAUCGCCUGUGUGUGGGGUCCUUACCUUCAUGGCUGUAGUGGGGCUGAACUGGGGCAGGAGUCUACGGCAGUGAUGGUGUAUUAGUUUGCUAGGGCUGCUGUAACAAAUGAUCACAAACUGGGUGGCUUAAAAUGAUAGAAAUUUAUUCUCACAGUUCUGGAGGCUGGUAGUCUGAAAUCAAGGUGUUGGCAGGGCCAUGUUCCCUUCGAAGGUUCUAGGGAAGAAUCCCUCCUGGCCUCUUUUUAGCUUCUGGUGGCUCUUGGAAUCUUUGGUGUUCUUUGGCUUAUAGCUGCAUCACCCCUGUCUCUGCCUCUGUCUUCACAGGGCCUUCUCUGCUCUGUGUAUCUCUGUCUUUGGCUGAUCUUGUAAGAACAUCAGUCACUGAAUUUAGGACCCACCCUGAUCCAGUGUGAUCUCAUCUUAAUCCUUAGUAAUUACAUCUGCAACUAUCUCAUUUUCAAAUAAAGUCACAUUCUGAGGUUCUGGGUGGGCAUGAAUUUUGGGGGCACAUUUUUCAACCCACUACAGAUGGCCAUGAGGGAGGGGCCCCAUCCCAGAGCCCCUUUGUUGUGGAGCCAAACGUGUUUGGCUGCUAAAUUAAGGGAGUUGCAGAGAGAGCUGCAGCUGGUGAGACAUCGCAUGCAGGUUAUUUUGGGAAAAAGAAAAAGCUUGAGGCUCCAGAGAGAUACCCACAGUGAGAAAGUGGUAAAGCCAGGAUUUGAACCACAGCAGCCUCGAACACUGUGCCAAAGGCCGUCAACCCAAGCCUGGAAUCAAGGGUUGCCAGCUUCCCCGCCCUUCUAGCCUGUCUCUGAGCUUCUUCACUGCUGCCUGUGUCCAAGGACCCUGUUUUCUCUCCCAAGGAGUGGCCCUCCUAUCCAGGAGGGAGGAGUGGGUCGAGGGAGGGGCUCUGACCUUGCUGCUGACUAAACUGCCACCGUCCCCUUAGUCUAAAUCCUUCAGUGAAUUGUCUUCUGAGACUCCUCAAUAGUCCCAAGGAAAGUCUAGCCUUCUUGGCCUGGUAUUCAAAGUCCCCUGCAUUCUCUAAACUCAUCUACUCCUACUGCCUCCUGUUUUCCCUAUGCCAGCAUGGCCUGCCAAGGAACACUAGCCCUGGGAUACAACACCAUGAGGCUCAUUAACAGGUUAAAGGUUCUGACAAGUCCUGCAGUGAGGAGAACUGUUCAACAUUGUUUAAUCCAGAACUUGCCAAGUGUGCUUAACCGCAGGACCCCCUUUCUCCUGACGGCCAGCAUGCACAGAAGCCUCUUUGCCUAGUGCAGCCCAGUAUGCAGGUCCCAAUACUGCUUUUCCCCAAGCAGGCCUGGAGCUUGGGCUUCUUUCAAAGCCUCUGUGGAGAAGUCCCUCCCUCCUUCUCCUCCUUAUUCCCUCAAGACUUUGCCUCAGGCCUCCCUCCAGGAAGUCAUUCUCCAUCACCCUCCAUCAGAGAAUGGGCAGCUUCCUCCCUCUGCCCCUGGCCCUCUAUGAACAGCAUUUACAGUGUGUACGGUUCUGCUUUCCCUCCCCAUUGCCCACUGUGAGCCCCUGAUUGGAACAAACAUCUAUGAAUGAAUGAUGUCCCAGGGGCCUGUUGGUCGUUUCUCUGCCCAGAUCAGACCAGCAUGGUAUCCAGGGCAGCAGAGAAUCCAGCAGGAAGCAGAAGUGGGUGCCUUGGCCUGUACCUUAAGACUUUUUCCCCUGAAAAUCUCAGGCUCUCAAACUCCCAGGCCUCUCCCCAUCAUCCCUCAGUGUCCUCCAGUCCAUCCCCCACCCAGAAUUAAACUUGUGUGUGUCACCUCA